UAGACAUGUACAAUACAUUUAAAAUCUACGAAAUUUGACAAUGUUGCUAGUAACAUGUUGAAAUCAUGUUGUAAAAAUAAUUUAGUACUGCUCAUAAUAACUCAUCGGCCAUAUUAGGUGUGGAGGCUUCAAUGGCCAUACAUUGUUGUUCUUUUCCAUCGCAUAUAUUUUCUUUGUUGUGAUAGACGUCUUUUCAAUACGACUACUUAGCUCUCAUGGCAUGUCAUUUGUGUGCACCUUUUGAAAGUAGUGUUUAUGGCUUCGAACGCUAGACAAUGGCUAUCGCUGCUGCUCCGUGUGCCCAGGUUUGGAUCCCGACCGGGCUCUGCCAAAUUUUUAUAUUCAAGUGUUUAAAAAUUGUUUUUUGAAAAGUGUUACAUUACUUAUGGUGUGUAUAUUAAAGGAUACAUUGUUCCAAAGACGAA